rnacentral:tRNA from 1 species
GGCUCAGUGGUCUAGGGGUAUGAUUCGCGCUUCGGGUGCGCGAGGUCCCGGGUUCGAAUCUCGGCUGGGCCC